rnacentral:lncRNA from 1 species
AUUAUUGCACCAGACCCCGUCGCCUAUUUAAACCCGCCUCCCCCCUCCGGGGAUCUCACUUUGUACGGGAGUUCCUUCGAUCCCUUCUUCAUUGUCGAUAUGGAUGCGGAUGCGGUUUGGAUGUCAGCCAAGAGUCUCAAAGCCCACAAGAGGGAAGGCACUGCAGCUUCUGGGUUGGCGAAGAAGGCGAGGGUAGAAGAGACAGAUCCGACCGCAUUUCGCCUUGAUCGC